AACGAACGCUGGCGGCAUGCCUAACACAUGCCAGUCGAACGAGACCUUCGGGUCUAGUGGCGCACGGGUGCGUAACGCGUGGGAACCUGCCCUUAGGUUCGGAAUAACUCCCCGACAGGGGUGCUAAUACCGGAUAAUGUCUUCGGACCAAAGAUUUAUCGCCUUUGGAUGAGCCCGCGUUGGAUUAGCUAGUUGGUAGGGUAAAAGCCUACCAAGGCGACGAUCCAUAGCUGGUCUGAGAGGAUGAUCAGCCACACUGGGACUGAGACACGGCCCAGACUCCUACGGGAGGCAGCAGUGGGGAAUAUUGGACAAUGGGCGAAAGCCUGAUCCAGCAAUGCCGCGUGAGUGAUGAAGGCCUUAGAGUUGUAAAGCUCUUUUACCCGGGAUGAUAAUGACAGUACCGGGAGAAUAAGCUCCGGCUAACUCCGUG
rnacentral:rRNA from 1 species